AUUUCUGCCUUGUCAUUGCAGGAACAUUCUAAUGGGUUCGGAUUGUCAACUGCCGUAUCAGGAUGACUGCCAUGGGGCAUUGCCACUUCCAUGAGAUUGUGCCAUUGGAGCAGAUUCAAACGGUCGAAUUGGAGCAGUAGUCCGCCGAGGCCUUGCAUACGCUGGAGUCCAGAAUAAGCCACUCUAACCCAUUUCUUCUAUAUUCACUUGUAAACUAUUUCUUGUCCACCUGUUUCUGAUUAGAUAUUCUUCACAGGUGAAUGGCGUGAGCACAAAGGAGAUUCGGAAGCGAUACGGAUGCGGAACCUGUACAGGCAUGGAGAAUGCUCGACUUGCAGGCAAACUCUGCAAGCUCUCACGGCUUUACUAUGAGGAAGCUGGUCCAAUCUUCCGUUUAUGGACUCCUCGAGGCGUUGCUACUUUUGGGGAGGGCAUUCCGACUAUAUCUCGCCAUACUAUUGUUUCCGCUUACCGUUAAUAAUGUAAGUAUAUCUGACACAUCCUUUGCGUAAAGGACUUCCAUUUUCUUUUAAUUCCUUCGGAUAAGUGACCGAUUAUUUCUCGUCAUGCUUUGAAUGGUGGCUCGACCGGAAAUUGGCCGCAAUUCAAGAUAAGGCUGUCAACGGGUGGGAUCCGGGUCCGGUCUAGGUGGAAGCACUCCCGAGUUGAUCAUUUCUUGGGACAAAACCUUAGACCCAAAACCGUCCAUUUUAACUUAAAAUUUAAGUUGAAACAAAAACAUAGGUUUAAAACCGAACCAUUUAAGCUAAAAGACACCACUUUUCUUAUUUAAAUCGCAAACUAAAAUUAAAAUUUUAAUCAUAUAUGAUUAAUAAAAUUGAUAGAAAAAUACUAAGUUACUUAUAUGUUAAAACGUCAGGCACCUUUAUUUAUCUAUCUAUGUAUCAGACUUGACAUUUAAACCUAUAUAAGAGCGAAACCGUAAGAAAACGAAUGAAAUAAUAUAUAUGGUUAACAAAAUAGUCGGUUUUGGGCAUGAAUCGAUUCGGGAGGGGCGAGUUCUGGAACCGACCCAAUUAUUUAUUUCAACAUAAUCGUGGAGCCGGAUCCUUUAUAAAUGGUUGGGUCGAUUCGGGCCAACCGGGUAGAUCUGAACCGUUGACAGCCCCUUCAAGAACAUGAACGAUGAUAGCGAUUGUGCUCUAGCAAGGUUGGUAUCCCUUUUCCUUCUCCCUUCGGACCUGUAAUUUGAGGUAAGGACCUUUCAAAACCGCACUCGAUGUUCGUACCUUUGUUAUUGAGGCAUAAGAUUUUGUCUUGCGAAGUUGGUUUUGGAUUUUCACGAAUUAAUAAAUUCUGCUAAUGCUAUUUGUGCCUUGUCAUUGCAGGAACAUU